GACGAACGCUGGCGGCGUGCCUAAUACAUGCAAGUCGAACGGAAAGGCCCGGCUCUUGUGGGGUGCUCGAGAGCCGAACACGUGAGUAACACGCGAGUAACCUGUCCCUGUCAUUGGGAUAACUCCAGGAAACACGGGCUAAAACCCCAUAUGAGCUCCUGCUGCACGGGGUGGGUUGGAAAGUUUCGGCGGUGCUGGAUGGACGCGAGGCUUAUCAGCUUGUUGGUGGGGUAGUGGCUUACCAAGGCUUUGACGGGUAGCCCGCCUGGGAGGGUGACCGGGCACAAUGGGACUGGGGAAGGGACCGGAAUGCAACGUGGGGCAUGGGGGGAAGACAUUGCGCACUAGGCCGAAGGCGGUAACAAAGAUCGCGGGUGCGGAAAGACGGCUUUUGGGGUGGAAACCGCUUUCGACUGAGACGAGCCGUGAGUGACGGUAAUGAGUAAAGAAGCAACGGCUAACUACGUG
rnacentral:rRNA from 1 species